rnacentral:rRNA from 1 species
CACGUAGGGGGCGAGCGUUGUCCGGAUUUAUUGGGCGUAAAGAGCUCGUAGGCGGCUCAGUAAGUCGGGUGUGAAAACUCCAGGCUCAACCUGGAGACGCCACCUGAUACUGCUGUGGCUAGAGUCCGGUAGGGGAGCAUGGAAUUCCUGGUGUAGCGGUGAAAUGCGCAGAUAUUAGGAAGAACACCGGUGGCGAAGGCGGCCCACUGGUCCGGUACUGACGCUGAGGUGCGAAAGCGUGGGGAGCAAACAGG